AUACUUUACUGCCGGGGAGAAGCCAUCAUCAGGAAGGUAGAUUUCCCAGGUCAAGGCUUAUCAACAGUUCUCUGAAUGUGCUGACUCCUGCAAUUUCCCCAAAUGUGGAAAAUGCCACUCCAUAACUGUGACAGCAAGGAACUGAGUUCACACUUUCCUCU